rnacentral:piRNA from 1 species
UGAGAUGCAAAACAUCUUUGUUAAGGGGU